CAAGGUCAAGCUAGAAAGAGCGCAAGGGGAAUGCCUUGGCAUCAGGAGCCGA
rnacentral:rRNA from 1 species